rnacentral:rRNA from 1 species
GAUGAACGCUGGCGGCGUGCUUAACACAUGCAAGUCGAACGAUGAAGCCCAGCUUGCUGGGUGGAUUAGUGGCGAACGGGUGAGUAACACGUGAGUAACCUGCCCUUAACUCUGGGAUAAGCCUGGGAAACUGGGUCUAAUACCGGAUAGGAGCGUCCACCGCAUGGUGGGUGUUGGAAAGAUUUAUCGGUUUUGGAUGGACUCGCGGCCUAUCAGCUUGUUGGUGAGGUAAUGGCUCACCAAGGCGACGACGGGUAGCCGGCCUGAGAGGGUGACCGGCCACACUGGGACUGAGACACGGCACAGACUCCUACGGGAGGCAGCAGUGGGGAAUAUUGCACAAUGGGCGCAAGCCUGAUGCAGCGAAGCCGCGUGAGGGAUGACGGCCUUCGGGUUGUAAACCUCUUUCAGUAGGGAAGAAGCGAAAGUGACGGUACCUGCAGAAGAAGCACCGGCUAACUACGUG